GAUGAACGCUGGCGGCGUGCCUAAUACAUGCAAGUCGAGCGAACGGACGAGAAGCUUGCUUCUCUGAUGUUAGCGGCGGACGGGUGAGUAACACGUGGAUAACCUACCUAUAAGACUGGGAUAACUUCGGGAAACCGGAGCUAAUACCGGAUAAUAUUUUGAACCGCAUGGUUCAAAAGUGAAUGACGGUCUUGCUGUCACUUAUAGCUGGAUCCGCGCUGCAUUAGCUAGUUGGUACGGUAACGGCUUACCAAGGCAACGAUGCAUAGCCGACCUGAGAGAGGGAUCGGCCACACUGGAAGUGAGACACGGUCCAGACGACUACGAGAGGCAGCAGUAGGGAAUCUUCCGCAGUGGGCGAAAACCUGACGGAGCGACGCCGCGUGAGUGAUGAAGGUCUUCGGAUCGUAAAACUCUGUUAUUAGGGAAGAACAGAUGUGUAAGUAAAUGUGCACAGCUUGACGGUACCUAAUCAGAAAGCCACGGCUAACUACGUG
rnacentral:rRNA from 1 species